UUAACACAUGCAAGUCGAGGGGCAGCAUGACCUAGCAAUAGGUUGAUGGCGACCGGCGCACGGGUGAGUAACACGUAUCCAACCUACCGGUUAUUCCGGGAUAGCCUUUCGAAAGAAAGAUUAAUACCGGAUAGUAUAACGAGAAGGCAUCUUCUUGUUAUUAAAGAAUUUCGAUAACCGAUGGGGAUGCGUUCCAUUAGUUUGUUGGCGGGGUAACGGCCCACCAAGACAUCGAUGGAUAGGGGUUCUGAGAGGAAGGUCCCCACAUUGGAACUGAGACACGGUCCAAACUCC
rnacentral:rRNA from 1 species